CUGUGCACCAAUUCGCCGGCGUUGCCGCGCAGCUCAAGAAGGGCUCUCGCACGAAUGUCAAG
rnacentral:tRNA from 1 species